rnacentral:rRNA from 1 species
CGGCAUGCCUAAGACAUGCAAGUCGAACGAGGUGGCCCACUGAUUAAGAAGGAAAGUUGAAAAGCUUGCUUGGAUGCUGGAAUUCUUAUGACGUGGAUCUUCCACCUAGUGGCAAACGGGUGAGUAACACGUGGGUUACCUACCUCUAAGUUGGGGAUAACAAUUGGAAACGAUUGAUAAUACCGAAUAUGCUCUCCGGAGUAAAGAAGCCCUUAAAGCUUCGCUUAGAGAUGGGCCUGCGGCGUAUUAGUUAGUUGGUGGGUAACGGCCUACCAAGACGACGAUGCGUAGCCGAACUGAGAGGUUG